AGGGAUCUGGGCUGGCCUGCUCGUCCCAUGGACUGAAUACAGGAACACCACCUCCCUUUGUGCAGGGCUCUGGGAGGCCAAGGUGGAAAAGGCUCUAAUGGAAUUCCUGCAGGGACAGUUUUCCCUGGCUCAGUGGGAGCUGUUUGCACACAGACGCCACGGAGUAAGCUGCUAGGUGUUUAUUAACUCAGCUUGCAAGAGGAGGGGAAGGGCAGAGGAAAACCGCUGAGGGGAAAAUGCCGGUUAAAAAGACAGACCACCACCCCCUGCUGUCCACCGGAGCUGAGGGAGCCGCGGCUGAGCGAGGUCCUUGUAACCUGUCUGGUUAUCUGAUAUAAUUACACAACAUUCAAGUGCAGGAGUGCAGGAAGAAGUGAUAAAAUCAAGAACAGCUUUAAUGAGGCCAGAAAAGGAAGAAAAAUGGAGUCAACUCAGGGGAACUUCAAGGUCCUUUGGGUGCUAUUCAAGCAAAGAAAUGGGAAUACUGCUAAAACAGAAGAAGCUGGGUGGAGUCAGAAGGCUGAUUUGGACCUAGCAGAGCAUUCAGUGGUUUCAGCAGGGAGCCUUAAAGUUACAUGGUGUCAGGAGCACAUGAAGAGCAGCUGCCAGGUGCCAGCGCCGAGUGCAGCGCUUCGGGAUGCGGGGAACGGGAUCCGCUCCGGCACCGCGGCCCGCGCGCGGCCCCUGCUGGCACCACCAGCAGCUAAGCCCGGAGCGUGAUGGAAGAGUUUGGAACAUCUUGGAAUCAAGACCUGAGGCCUUGGGAAGUGCUAACUGGGAGCAGAAGCCAUCCACUGGAGAGGCAGGAGAUGUUUUGGGAGAAACCAGCAAUACCUUUGACCACAGGAAUCAGCUGGGACCUAAAAGCCAGAGGUUUUCUGUCCCCCUUUGGUGUCACUGACCCGGCUCUUGCUUCUCUGACUAGAAAGUGGAAACAACAAAUAUCAUCCCCCUGCUGUUUAUGUACUGAAGCCCUUUGGAAGCGGUUCACGCUCUGCCCUGGGCUUUGCUCCCUGUCUCUCCACGCUCCGUGCCGGGGAUCCCGGGGUCACCGCCGCAGGACAAAACAGUGGGAACAACAAUAACUGCGCGGGCCUGGCACAGGAGGGGGGAUGAUUGUUUUCAGCCUUCGCAGCCCACGACUGCUGGUACAAAUGACAGAUACAAUCAGGCCUUGGGGUUUCCAGUACAUUUAUAUGUCUGGGGAAGGGUGUCAGCCGCUGUUCUCAGCCACUCUGGCAAACUGAAGCUAAAGAUUCGGGCAGGUGGGGGAGAGAGAGAGAGAAAUGCAUUGAAUUGCCAUCGAAAGAAACAUGCAUAAUUUCUAGAAAUGCUUUGUGUCAGUUUCAAAGAUCCUACUGGGAAUGCAGCUUAUUCUCUGGCCAACACGUUUCCUUUGCAAAAGGCACAACUGGUGUACUUUGGGAUUUUUGUUUUUCUCUCUGGCAGCAGUCAGUAUCUAUGUUUUCUUCGACUGACAGGCCUGUAACUUCAAUCAGCUGAAAUGGUUUAUGUGAAGCAAGGGAUGGGGCGAGUUCACAUGGCACUCUAAGAGGACCUUGAGACAAGCUGUAGUCUCACUGAUGUAACUGGAGGUUCUGUUUCAGAUCUCUGCUGAUCUGAGAAGGAUGAGGCAGAAAAAAAUUACAUACUUAACCUUUCUGGUAGAAAACACCAUGGGAAGCAGAGAAAAUAUUGUAACAUUCCUCUAAAGCCCCAUUGCAGAGUUGUGGUUAAAUGUGAUUAAAG
ensembl:lncRNA